CUUGAACUUGCACCGUAUAGCAAUACUCAAAGUAUACUCAAAAUACUCACAAGAAUACGCUCGAUAAUAUAGAGAGAGAAAACUUCAGUUUCUGGUGUGAUUUUCAAUUCUAACCUAAGCACCCUAUUUAUAGGAAAAUGCUUAGAACACCAAAGCAGAAAAUUUAAUAUAAUAUUAAUAUAUUUAAUAAAUUCUCUACGCCCAUCUAGACAAUCUGAUCUCAGCCAUCAACACAUGUUAAAGAUGCCCACAAACAUUUAAAAAAUGUUUUUCUUAUUUAAAUUAUUUUAAACUUCCAAAAAUCAAUUAUUUCGGAGCUUCGGAACUUCAAUAAUUCACAAUAAAUAGCCCUUUUGUCAGAAAAUUC
rnacentral:lncRNA from 1 species